rnacentral:rRNA from 1 species
UCCUGGCUCAGGAUGAACGCUAGCUACAGGCUUAACACAUGCAAGUCGAGGGGCAGCAUGAUCUGUGCUUGCACAGAUUGAUGGCGACCGGCGCACGGGUGAGUAACGCGUAUCCAACCUUCCCCUUAGUAGGGCAUAGCCCGGCGAAAGUCGGAUUAAUACCCUAUGUUUUCCAAUGAGGACAUCUGGGCUGGAAUAAAGAUUCAUCGCUAAGGGAUGGGGAUGCGUCCGAUUAGGUUGUUGGCGGGGUAACGGCCCACCAAGCCCUCGAUCGGUAGGGGUUCUGAGAGGAAGGUCCCCCACACUGGUACUGAGACACGGACCAGACUCCUACGGGAGGCAGCAGUGAGGAAUAUUGGUCAAUGGGCGAGAGCCUGAACCAGCCAAGUAAGCGUGCAGGAUGACGGCCCUAUGGGUUGUAAACUGCUUUUAUACGGGGAUAAAGUGAGGGACGUGUCCCUUAUUGUAGGUACCGUAUGAAUAAGGACCGGCUAAUUCCGUGCCAGCAGCGGC